UACUCUAAAUAGAUGAGUGGCAAACGGGUGAGUAAAACGUAGGAAUCUGCCCAUCAGUACGGAAUAACUUUUAGAAAUAGAAGCUAAUACCGUAUAUUCUCCAAGGAGGAAAGAUUUAUCGCUGAUGGAUGAGCCUGCGUCAGAUUAGGUAGUUGGUAGGGUAAUGGCCUACCAAGCCAAUGAUCUGUAGCUGGUCUGAGAGGAUGAUCAGCCACACUGGGACUGAGACACGGCCCAGACUCC
rnacentral:rRNA from 1 species